UAUUAAAUACGGAUAAUUAUGGUAACUUUUUUCAUGCAUAAGUAUGUACAAGUAUAUGGACCUCCCCAGGUUUUCAAUGCAACACCACUAUACAAGACCUAUGUAUGUUAAUUGUAUGGAAGGGCUUAAUAUUUAUAUGACUGUGUAAAUCAUAUUUUUUAUUAGCUCUUCGCAUAUAUAAAGUUAUAAACAAAAAUCAUUCGCAUAAAAUCCAAUGAUUUUGUUUACAAACGAAUUCCAUCCGUCUUUGUGGCGUUGCUCAAUUAUGCCAUACAGAAUCUUUCAAUGAAAAACAGAUUAUUAUUUAUUUACCUAAGUAAUCAAACUUUCAGUUCAACGCCGUUACGCUACUUACUUGCAACCCACGACUCGCGAGUUUAUUUGUGUAAACGACGCUUAUAUCGACAUGGAAACUUAUUACCACCAGUACGAACAAUCAGACACCUACAUCUUUUUUAUUCCCAGUGGAAAACUACGAUAUUUCUCAAUUGUUCACUACUAUAUAUGUGUGUAUAAAGUGGAGAAAUACAGCUAUCUCAAAAUAUUGCACCUAAUCAAGUUUUUAAAUUAAACGGAUAAGAUCACGGGUUAAAGAUAAGUGGUUGUUGAACUUAAAUUGCUUCAUUAGCAAUAUAAGAGAUAUAGUAAUAUAAUUAAUACUAAGCACAAGCCCCCUUUAUUAAAAUAAAUACACUGGGUAUACAUACAUCCCAGGCUGUUUAAACUUUGUCAUUUGGGACGUUUUUUGAAUGGCAGGUCCCAAACCCAGCGCAUAACCCUGUUGAGGUGAUGUUUCGCCUUCUCACAUUAUCUCGAACUUAAACUUUCUUUGGCUACCGUAAGGACACUUGGUUUAGGACCGGAAGUCGUGAGCUGCUUGAGCCAUAUGUGAAAGAAUCGCUUUUGGCGCUCCCAAGUGAAUGGCGAUCAGAGAACUUUCCUCACUUGCAUGAACUUCUUGACAUGACUCCGUCCUCCAUUCUUCUACUGUACAUACAUACUUCCAAUCAAAAACGGCACUUGCUUGCGACAACGGAAAAUAUAGUUUAAUUAUGAGGGAGCAGAUGAGUCAAUUCGCGAUGCUAAGCAAAACUUUGAAAUUCAUCUCUGUUUUGUCAUUAUUGAUUGCAUUGUCUUCAAUCGAUGGAAGGUACGAUCAGUUGAAAGUUACUAAAACUUUGAUCAGAUGCAAAGUUUUACAUACACAUCUAUUUUUCAACAUUGUAAAAAAUUUGAAAGUCAGUAACUCACAGUGGAUUGACGGAGUGGACGCAACAGAAUUAUGCUACGAAGUACAUACUGUUGGCAGAAAAUUUGCUCAAAAGACCACACUAUUGGACUUUUUAAUUAUAUUUUCUCUAACGAAAUUUAAUUACGGCAAUAAGGGUGUUGUAAAAAUCCGUAUCCAGCUCUUAAGUAAUUGUUAAAGAAAAAAAUUCCUUAUUUCUUGAGCUGUAGUCAAGUAAUUUUGAUAGUUGAUUACGCAUUGUAAAUGAUCCACAUUAGAAGAGCAAGAGAAAAUAAAUUUAUGUGUCUCCUCCUUCGAUGCCGUCUUUAUCUCGUCAAGAGAAGCGUAACGUCGUCCUUUCAUGGGCCUCUUCAAUUUAGGGAACAAGAAAAAGUCACAGGGGGCCAGAUCUGGGGAAUACGGUGGCUGCGGCAUCAUUAGUGUGUUGUUUUUGGCCAAAAGUCGCACACAAGCAACGAUGUGUGAGCAGGGGCGUUACCGUGGUGCAAAAGCCAAUUUUUGUUCUUCCACAAAUCCGGGCGUUUCUGGCGGAUUGCUUCGCGCAAAUUGCGCAUAACUUGCAGGUAAUAUUCCUCAUUGACCGUUCUUCCCUGUGGCAAGAACUCAUGAUGCACCAUGCCCCUGCAAUCGAAGAAAACUGUCAGCAAACUAUCGCGAUACUUUUUGAACACACCUCGUACAGUAGAAUUAACUCGCGAUAAAGUUAAACCUUCGGCUAAGUUGACCGAGCGUUCAACGUACCGCUCUAAAAAGUUAACUUUUAGUUAAUUACGGCAAUAAGGAUGUUUUGGUUAACUUUUUUGAGCUUAUCUUUUUUUCAAACCGUUUGUUUGGCCAGGAAAAUAAUUGCUACAUACAUAUGUAUUCCUUAAAUUUCUAUGUAAAAAUUAUUGCAGAUGUCGCGAGGUAUAUACAUAUACAUAUAUAGAUACGUAGUUUGUCAUGAGCAUUUGAACUUCUGGGUUAUUUAUAGUUAGUGUGUUAAAAAUGUCAACAAAGCAGAAAAAAUCAUUGCAAAUCAGAUUAAAUUUGCAUUAAAGCUGGGAUUUUAAGAAAAAUCGAUGAAGGCAUUCAUGCAAAUUGAUUGGCGUUGAAUUAUAAUGUAUUUAAGGCGGCCAUCUGAAAAACAAAGAAAAAACUUCAUGAAAUCCAGGAAGAGGCAAGCUGAAAUUGGGAAACAACAAAUAUAACAUUAAUGGAAGGACUGUGGGAAGUGUUUAGAGCAUUAAGAGUCGCUACAAUCCACUAUUCUUAGUAAUAUAUCUUUUGAGUAAAAUUAAAAUUUUGAAAUGUUUUGCCCCUUUUCAAGUUAUUUGUGUUUUACCUAUCUUACUUAAUAACAACUAAUAAAUCAAUUAAAAUUAACUAAACUUAAAAUAUUUAAAUAACA